rnacentral:rRNA from 1 species
UACAGAGGGGGCAAGCGUUGUUCGGAAUUACUGGGCGUAAAGGGCGCGUAGGCGGCCUGUUAAGUCGAACGUGAAAUCCCCGGGCUCAACCCGGGAACUGCGUCCGAUACUGGCAGGCUUGAAUUCGGGAGAGGGAUGUGGAAUUCCAGGUGUAGCGGUGAAAUGCGUAGAUAUCUGGAGGAACACCGGUGGCGAAGGCGGCAUCCUGGACCGAUAUUGACGCUGAUGAGCGAAAGCUAGGGGAGCAAACGGG